UACGAAGGGUGCAAGCGUUAUUCGGAAUCAUUGGGCGUAAAGCGCGCGCAGGCGGAUUUGUAAGUCAGGUGUGAAAUCUCGAGGCUCAACCUCGAAACUGCGCCUGAAACUACCAAGUCUAGAAUGUCGGGAGGGGCAGGGGAAUUUCACGUGUAGGGGUAAAAUCCGUAGAGAUGUGAAGGAACACCGGAGGCGAAGGCGCCUGCCUGGACGACUAUUGACGCUGAGGCGCGAAAGCGUGGGGAGCAAACAGG
rnacentral:rRNA from 1 species